ensembl:lncRNA
CUGUACUAGUCUACAUAGGACUAGUACAUUAUAGUACUAGUACAAUCAUAGAAUUGUCCUCCACUGUAAGCAAAGUAAGAAAUCUAAAAAAUCCAGAAAUCCAGAAAAAAAAAAACCUCGAAUAUGAGCCAAUAAUUUGAAGCCUUUGCUUCAAACUCUAAUAAGUGAUGUGUCUUUGGAGAAACUGCAUAAGCAAGAGGAAAUUCUACUGUUCUGGAGAUAAAGCAUUAUCUAAGUGGUUCUGUACUAUAAGGAAAUUUGAAAUAGUUGUGUCAUUAACUUUAUGUGCUACUGUUAUAGAUAAUGACAUAACAUAUUGAUAAACGCUAAACACUGAUAUUGCCUUGUAUGUUUCCUCAUUCCAUUCUGCCCCUAUUUCAGAGAACAUUGGAAGACAAGUUUUUAACAGCACUAGAAUUCCAGCUGAGCACGUUUAUGCAAUGGAUUCAGUUGAGUUACACACCAGUCGCACCGUUACAGCUGUUCAUGACCUAACUCCUCCCACAGUGAAGACGAAUCCCACUGCAAACAACUCUCAUGAUGAGCCUGAUGUAUCAGGAGAUGUGCUGGAUCAGAACACACAACCUCCCACCAUGACUACUGAACCCUCUGGAAAAUAUGAUGAUCUGACCACUGAGAGUGCUGAGUUUACAGAAAAAAAUAGAGAAGAAGUUGCAGAUGAUACCACCACAACAUUUAGCCUAGAAAACACUGGCUCAGGUACGGAAGAGCCAAUAGACGCCACCACAAGUGAACCAAACACUGAAGGCUCAAAGGACAAACAAGAGGACCACAUAAAUUACACAUCUGAGAGUCCACCAGCACCGACCACUGAAGUGAAUUCACGUCAGUCUGUGCAAUCGAAAGGGAGGAAGGGACCUGGCAUAGCUUCAUCACCAGAAGAGAAUACCAGCAGUGGCAGCACCAAAGAUUGGUUGGUCAUCUUGAUUGUGAUUGUGGCCAUCGUUGCUAUUAUUAUUCUGGGUGCUUUUGUGGUAACAAGGAACAGGUGGUGUGGGAGAAGCCAGACUCUGAUGAUCACCUCCAAGAGCAGCGGUGAGGGCAAUGGGACAGCAGCAUCAGCGGCCAGCCCCGAGGCUCAGGAGAGAGAGCAGGAAAUGGUGACGCUUAUGAACAAAGAGAAGAUCCAGGAGAAUGGCAACACGGAGGAGUUUACUGUGAUCACCCUGGAAGAAUCACCAGAGAAAAACCAGGAAGCAUGAAAGACUGAAUGAGACGGGUUGAGGAUGAGGGAUCAAAAGGUUGGGGGAGAGAGUGAUGGGUCAUGGCUUAAGUCUUAACCAGAGAGAUAGAAGCUGUUAGACACUUUGGGAGCCAGACAGACACUCAGAUACUGUUGGUGACAUAAAGUGUCAAAAGUCUUGUUUGGUCUUUUUAUAUGAAAAAUUUCCAUUUCCUUAAGGGUAAGGAAUCUACUAUAAUUUUCCUGUGGCUUCAAAACAAACAACACAACAAAGUGUUAUAUUUUAGACAAAAGGGAAAAAUUAAAGAUUUCUCUACACGCCAUGGAGACAUCCUAAAUUUAAACCUCUGGGCUCUUAAUUCUUUUCUAGUUUCAUUUUGCCUUUCACAGUGAGAAAACCUGAUGGUUAAUCUAGCACAAAUGAGAAUGUUCUUUUGAACUGAUUUCACCUUUUUUUGCUCCCCAAAUUUAGGGCUAAUCAACAUAUUAAGGAUGAAACAAAAGCUGAUGGAAACCAAAUUUUAUGAUCUCAAUAAAAUAGUUACAGAGAUGGUGAUACUGCUCACCAGCUCAUGUCUCCUAACUUCCCCAUCGCAUGCCUGAUACUACUAAGGCCUCUUAACACAGAUAAGACACAUUUAUCAUCUCCUAAUGUCAGUUAUUAGAUGUAAAAGUCGAUUAUAGCUUCCAGCUUAUCUAAAAACCGUUUCACAAUUAUAACGAGUAUUUAUUUAAAUUGGAUUGUGGGGAAAAACACUUAAACUUUAUUUCAAUAUUGUGGUGUGCAGUGUGGUUCUGUGCAGGUUAUAGGAUAGUAAUGAGGGCGGCAGAGAAAGAUGUAUGGUUUUAAUAAAGGUCAUUAAUGUCCAUGCACAAAGCCAUCAUAGUGCUAGAAUUCAUCUUCAGUGGGUUUCAAAUGAAACAAGAAAGGACAAAUAAAGUGAAAUGAAGAGGCAGAGAUGCUGAUACGUGUUUUAGAGUCUUUUGAAAAUGUCUUUUCUGACUUUUUUUUUUUUUUUUUUACCCCUGCGAAUGAUGUGUUUUUGUUUGUUUGUUGUUUGUUUGUUGGCUGGUUGGUUGGAUGAUUGGUAUUUUUUUUUUUUUUUUUUUGCAUUUAAUUUAUCCUUUUGUAUAUACCACUAUGCUUGUUUACUAUUGUAUGAGAUUGGAAUAGUCAGACCGUCAUAUCCAUUUCUUUAGUCAGUGUAACUGAAAACCAAUUUGCACCCUUAUUGAUGAAGUAAUAUCACACUGUAACUUGAUACCAAUGUUUUAAUAUUUUUGAUCUCCAAAAGUCUAUCAAAGAACAUGUUGGAACAAGAAAAGCUAUUGAAAAUUAUAUAUCAUUAUUCUUACCAUCUGAUCAUGCAUAUGCAAUUUACAUAUAUUUACUCUCAUGACAGUUGGGCUAUAAAAUGCCAUUAAUACAGUGUACCAACAUAACCAGUGAUGCAGUUAUUUAUUUUAAGAUGGAACAAAGUGCUUAAAUUAUGUCUUUUAAUGUUCAUACUUUGCACCUUACAUUGCCACCAAAAGCUUGAAGCAUAUGUACAUAUUAGCAUACAUAAGCUUUCUCCACAUACAGACAUUUCAGUUUCAUAUUUCUGCUUUUUUCUCUUUUGUCUUUUUAUGAUGGCAUCUACUCUUGAACGUGCUUUGUUUAAGAAAGAUUAGCAUAUGCAGUAGUGGUAGGAGUGUGUACAUUGACCAAAUAACUCAUUAUUGUUAAUUAAAAAUAAUUUUGUGAGGUCCAGGAUUAAAUAAAAAAAUGUAUAGAUGUGUUUUCUUGCAUCAUUCUUGUUUGAUAUGCAACUGCAUGAGCGAUUGUUAAGAGCACUAUGUAUUUGAGAAAGACUUGGAGGGGGCAGGUGGGGGGUGCGGGUGGUGAAAAAUGGUGUGUUUCUUUGAAGCAGGAGGGAGUGUAGUUGCCAUGGCAUCCAAGUCAUGAUGGAAGAGGGUAUUAUUUCUCCCCCCAGCAUAGAGACACGAGAGAUGGAAGCCAUUUUGAGAAAAUAGAAUUUUUCUGGUUAUGGAUUUUGUUCUUUAGAAUUAAAGUUUUGUUAAAUUUAAAUUACACCUAAAUACUGAAAUAUGACAAAGACAAAGUAAAAAGAAUUGUACAGUGAUAUUUAACCAAUCAGAUACCAGGAAAGAUUUCUUGAAUAUUGAUAUGGCUCUCAUGGACUUACAGUAGCACGUUGAGUUGUGUGACUUAAUGGUGUGCAUUUAAUUUUACAGUAACUACACUAAGAAAUAUGACCUCAAAACAGAGAAAUGGACAUCAUCAGACUAUUAAAAUUACAAUUGGUGACUCCAUAAUCUCAAAAUACAAUUAUUAUAGAAUUUUAAAUAAUGCACAUGAAUGUUUUUACAUUAAAAAAAGAAAUUACUUUUCAAAGUGUUUUGCACACUGAGUUUCUCUUAAUUUCUCUAGAGCUGUCACAUACAGUAUAAUAUUGAACUACUUUCCCUGUUGGUUUAUUGCCUCAGACUCAUCUUCAAGAGAGGCAGCACUGACCUGGGCCACUUCCCCCAUGUAUGUCAUUACAGUGCCAUAUUGCCAUAUUUUGACUUGCCCAAUAAAGUGCCAUGCUGCUCCCACAUCUCAACUGUCACAAGAUCACAGGUGAUGUCCUCACCUUCACUAUGUGCCCAGUAAAUGAGGAACCUCAUGGAUUAUUGUAUUUUUGAUGCUUAACAGAGUGUGUUUGUAGCAUCCCAGAAUCACACAUGUAAAUGAUGUCAGUUCAGUCCCUUGACCAGCAGUAAGCAGUAAGCAAUGACUAUGAAAUUCAGGAAGUGUGUCCUCUUGGAAACUUAUUUUACUAAGCUUUAACAGAUCAUGUAGAAACCACUCAAUGGAAUGAAGCAGAAAGUGUAGGAGCCAGUGGGCUAUAAAUAGUGUUUUGCAAUAGUGUUCUGCAAUAUCCGAGAGGCAGCCACUUUUACUUCUUCUGCAAUUUUCUUCUUCAGAUAGAUCGCUGAUAAUCUCUGACAUGUUCAAAACUCAAUGUUAAAAAUUUUGGUCAAAAUAUUUCAUGUGUAUGUAUGUGUUUGUAUUCCAGGUCCAGCCCAUAGACACAUCAGAAAAAUGUCUCCUUCCUGAUUGGCCAGUUCUCUGGUUUUCAGUUCUAUUUGAAUACUUCACUUUUUUUGUCUUGCACAGAUUCCGUUUGGUAUAACUGUGAUCUGUGUUUUUGGUUUGUCUUAACUCUUUCAAUGCUUGUGAUCUGUAUGUAAAUAUCAGGCAUACAAUUGUAAAUAACCUGAUUAGGCAGUUCAGAAAGUAGGGAGACCAACUUCAACCAUUUAAAAAAACAAUCCUUUUUUCUCCUGUUAGUGCUAGUUAGUAAAAAAAAUUUUGCCUACACUUUUCUAAGUGAACUGAUGUUAUUCAUUU